UAUAUACCUAUUUAAUGCUUUUAACAAAAUACAGGUUGUAUCAAUCGUUGAAAUAAAAAAAUCCCGUAUUACGCUACUCGCUGUUUCCAAUUCCGUAUUACAAUACUAGCCGGACUACUUCGACCCAUUUAAUGACGUCACAUUACACGCACCGAAAAUAGAAAUAUUUUAUAUUACGAAAUAUAUUACGUAGCACAUCGUGUGACGUCAUUUUUGUGACAAAACACAAUAGUUUUAUCUAAACUCUGUAAGGACAUGUCGGAUGUGGUGUUUUUUAGCAGUAAACUAUGUGUUAAAAACGUAUUUUGUAGUGUGUUUUUAUCAUGCAUAAAUGUAUAUUUCGAUAGGAAUACAAUGAAAUAGUGUGGUUUAAACUAAGUUUCGAUAAAGACGUGGAAGAUAGAAGUGAAAGUGCAUAACGUUUUUGUUAUAAACAUCGGAUUAAAGCUGUCAACUUAAUUGUUAUAAAAAUUGGAUUAACGAUGGCAUAGAGUGACCACGAACCAUUUCUGACUGAAAAGGAAAGGCAGAUGCUCAAAGACGUAUGGCAUGGACUACAAAAGGACAUCCAGAGGAUUGGGGUCAUAACAUUUGUUAGUUUAUUUGAGACCCACCCUGAUGUUCAUGACGCAUUCAUGUCCUUCCGUGCUGUCAACACGUCCGAACUCAAGUACAACUCCAUUAUUCGAAAGCAUGCACUGAGCGUCAUGGGAAUCGUUGACAAGUGCAUUACUAGACUGGAUAACCGCGAAAAACUGCGAG